AGACCAUUAGUUUAGAGAAAACAUUUGAUUUCGGCUCAAAAAACCGCGGCUCAUUACCGUGAUUGUCUU
rnacentral:tRNA from 1 species